ensembl:antisense Fbxl12os F-box and leucine-rich repeat protein 12, opposite strand
GAAUCUUUACGGUUCCGGCUGUGAGGUCCGCACGGGUGGCACCGAUUCCUCUUCAUAGAGGCCCUGAGGUGGACGGAGUCGUGGGAGGACGCAGGGAGCCCGGUUCGCCAGCGUCGCAGCUCGCCUGGCCCAGUCUGAGCGAAGAGCGAGGCAGGAAGCCACAAUGACUGGCAACUCUGUGGUUGUAUGCAACAUAAGGAUAUCUUCAGCGAGCACUCAUAUUUUAAGAGGCAUUGUGUAAACUGGAAACUCAAGGAACCCCUGUGACUCUCAUCAGUGUGGAGUGCACCCUCCCACGAGACAGGAGCUUUCUCUGUAGAAUCAGCUUGUAGGAGACUUUAAUGUGAUCCCCAAUGUUACUCACCAGAAAACAGGCUUGUGGGACAAAUCUGUUGAAUGCACCAACUUCCUUAAUCAGUUAUAUUUUAAGGCACAUAUGAGAAUCCAUAAUGGAAAAAAAUUCUUUGAAUUGACUCAAUUUUCAGGAGAUUUUACAUGUUCUACAAGGGGAGUUCUGCCUAUCAAAUGUACACCAUAAAAGCCUUUGAAUGUAAAAUUUGUGGGAAAGUCUCUGGGUAUUCUUUAAGUCUUAAUAGUCACCUGCAAACCCACACUGGGGAGAAACAUUAUGAAUGUAAAAUAUGUAAAAAAUUCUUCACUACUUCUUCAAGUCUAACUGAACACUUCAAACUAGAGAGAAACCCUAUAAAUGUAAGGAAUAUGGAAACACUUUUACUAAGCACUCAGGACUUUCUUCACGUGUAUAAACACAUUCGGGAAAGAAGUCUUGUGUAUGCAAGUUAUGUGGGAGAUCCUUCAUGAUUCCUUCAAAUAUGACUGAGCAUUUCAGAAUUCAUACUGGAGAGAAACCCUACCAAAGUAAAGAAUGUGGGAAAGCCAUCCAUGCAUCUUCAUAAGCAUCUAAGAACACAUACCAGAGAAACCCUAUAAAUGUGAGAAGCGUGGGAAAGCCUUCCAUACCUCCUCCUACCUACGGAAACAUGUAAGAACUCACAGUGCAGAGAAACCUUAUGAAUGUAGGGAAUGUGGCAAAGCCUACAAAAGGUGUUAUCUAUUGCAUGAACAUUUAAAAACUCACAUGGUAGAGAAACCCUUUGGUUGCAAGGUAUGUUGGAAAGUCUUUUGAACGUUCUGCAUGCUGUAAUAAGCACAUUCAUCCUCACAGCGGAUGAAUACUUACUUAUAAAUGUAAGUACUGUGGCAAAGACUUCACUGUCUCCUCAAGUCUAAUUGGACAAACAAGAGCACACUGGAGAGAGGCCCUAUAAAUGUAAAGAACGUGGGAAAGCCUCUACCUCAGCCUCAUGUCUGAUUGUUCAUAAGAGAACUCACACUGGAGAGAAACCCUAUGAAUGUAAGGAGUGUGGGAAAGCUCACAAGAGGUGUUACCUACUGACUGGACAUAUAAAGACUCACACGGGGGAAAAGCCUUUUGACUAUAAGACAAAGUUUGGAGCUGUGACAAAAGGAUGGACCAUCUAGAGACUGCCAUAUCCGGGGAUCCAUCCCAUAAUCAGCUUUCAUACUAUGACACCAUUGCAUACACUAGCAAGAUUUUGCUGAAAGGACCCAGAUAUAGCUGUCUCUUGUGAGACUAAGAUUCACUGUUUCUUCUAGCCUUGCUGAACAUGUAAGGACUCAGAGGUGAGAAGCCCUACACAUGUGAGGAAUGUGGGAAAGCUUUUACAACAUUCUCAGACCUCUGUCACCAUUCAGAUUCAUGAUAGAGAAACUAAGUAUCAAAAGUGUGGAAAAAAUGCAGUAAGUUUUAUCUGCUAACGGAACAUUUAAUAAAUCAGUCUGAACAGAAACCCUUUGGUUGGAAAGAAUGUCGAAAGCCCUUCAAGAAUUCUCCACAUCUUAAUCAUCAUAAUGGAGUUUACACUGGUGAGAAGCCUUAUUAAUGAAAGAAGUGUGGGUUAGCCUUCAAACCAGCUCACUUGAAAGACAUAAAAGCUCUCUUGUUCUCAAGAUGCCCAUGAAUUUAAGAAACACAUGAGAGUCACUGGAAUGUCAUUAAAGUGCACUAUUUUAUAAGCUCCCCCUGGAGCCAUGUGAUGUCACAAAUAUGAAAGCCCUACUUGCUGAGGACUUGUUAAAUAGGUAAGAUUUUACAGUGGAGAAACUGUUGUGAGUAACAUGGAAAAGGGGUCAUUUUGCUAAAUUCUUUACAUUCACUGUCAUCUCACAGUGGAGAUGAUUAAGGUAAGGAAGGUUACAAACUCAAUUUUCUCUGCAUAUUGUUCAACCUUCAAUAAAAAUGGUGGUUUAUAACCAAG